rnacentral:rRNA from 1 species
GGUGGGGAGCAAACAGGAUUAGAUACCUGGUAGUCCACGCCGUAAACGAUGAGUGCUAAGUGUUAGGGGGUUCCGCCCUUUAGUGCUGCAGCUAACGCAUUAAGCACUCCGCUGGGGAGUACGACCGCAAGGUUGAAACUCAAAGGAAUUGACGGGGGCCCGCACAAGCGGUGGAGCAUGUGGUUUAAUUCGAAGCAACGCGAAGAACCUUACCAGGUCUUGACAUCCUUUGACCACUCUAGAGAUAGAGCUUUCCCUUCGGGGACAAAGUGACAGGUGGUGCAUGGUUGUCGUCAGCUCGUGCCGUGAGAUGUUGGGUUAAGUCCCGCAACGAGCGCAACCCUUAUUGUUAGUUGCCAUCAUUCAGUUGGGCACUCUAGCGAAACUGCCGGUGACAAACCGGAGGAAGGUGGGGAUGACGUCAAAUCAUCAUGCCCCUUAUGACCUGGGCUACACACGUGCUACAAUGGACAGUACAAUGAGCAGCGACACGGCGACGUGAAGCGAAUCUCAUAAAGCUGUUCUCAGUUCGGAUUGUAGGCUGCAACUCGCCUACAUGAAGCCGGAAUCGCUAGUAAUCGCGGAUCAGCACGCCGCGGUGAAUACGUUCCCGGGCCUUGUACACACCGCCCGUCACACCACGAAAGUUUGUAACACCCAAAGUCGGUGAGGUAACCUUCGGGAGCCAGCUGCCUAAGGUGGGAUAGAUGAUUGGGGUGAAGUCGUAACAAGGUAACCA